GCCGAAGUGGUGGAAUUGGUAGACACACCAUCUUGAGGGGGUGGCGACCCACGGUCGUGCGAGUUCGAGUCUCGCCUUCGGCACCA
rnacentral:tRNA from 1 species